GCGGGAUUAGUAUAGUGGCAGUACUACGGUCUCCAAAACCGUUGGCGGAGGUCCGAUUCCUCCAUCCCGCG
rnacentral:tRNA from 1 species